rnacentral:lncRNA from 1 species
CUCCUCCCUCUAUCAAUCGCCCCCAAAAUUCCAAUACCAAAAAAAAAAAGAAAGAUUUUUUCUUUCAUUUCUAAAGUUUAGAUCUCUUGUAAGCUAUUGGUUGGAGGUAUGCUCACUGAUCAAUUCUUGAUCAAGAUCUCAUAAGGCCAUUGCACAUUGCUACCUCCUCUUGCAAGAAAUGGGAAUGUGGUUGUUGGAGUUAUUUUCAUAAUUAGAUUUUGCACAUUGAUAUAUUCUCGCUUCAUCCCAAGAUUGAAGAUGUCAUUGCUAUUAGUGGCUGGGGUGGCC